rnacentral:rRNA from 1 species
GAGAGAUACGGAGGUAGAGCACUGAAUGUCCUAGGGGGUAUUGCACCUACCGAAGACUAUCAAACUCCGAAUGCCGUCAUCUUAUACUUGGGAGUCAGACUGUGGGUGAUAAGAUUCAUAGUCGAAAGGGCAACAGCCCAGAUCGUCAGCUAAGGUCCCUAAAUGUAAGUUAAGUGGGAAAGGAUGUGGGAUUGCACAGACAACCAGGAUGUUGGCUUAGAAGCAGCCACUCAUUCAAAGAGUGCGUAAUAGCUCACUGGUCGAGUGAUCCUGCGCCGAAGAUUGCCGGGGCUAAAACUUACUACCGAAGCUACGGCAUCAGUAAUGAUGGGUAGGGGAGCUUCCCAUACGGGUUGAAGCAUGACCGUAAGGACAUGUGGACAGUAUGGGAGUGAGAAUGUUGGCAUGAGUA